rnacentral:rRNA from 1 species
UACGAAGGGGGCUAGCGUUGUUCGGAUUUACUGGGCGUAAAGCGCACGUAGGCGGAUUGUUAAGUUGGGGGUGAAAUCCUGGAGCUCAACUCCAGAACUGCCUUCAAUACUGGCAAUCUCGAGUCCGGAAGAGGUAAGUGGAACUCCUAGUGUAGAGGUGGAAUUCGUAGAUAUUAGGAAGAACACCAGUGGCGAAGGCGGCUCACUGGCUCGAUACUGACGCUGAGGUGCGAAAGCGUGGGGAGCAAACAGG